CCGGGGGUGAUGAACUCGCCCCAGUGCCGCUGGUCGCCGCUGACGAUGAGGUGGGGCAGGCCGUCGGAGCCGCAGAGCAGGCCGAACUUGCCGUAGUUCUCAAACCGGCGCUUGGUCUUCUCGAUGGUGGCCUGGAUGGCGAGCGCGGGGGCCGAGUCGGGCGCGUACUUCUUGAGCGACGAGUUGAGCUUCUUCACCGACUGCUUCUCCCGCUUGGCGAACGCCUUGGACUCCUUGCACGGGGUCAGGCCCGCGAUGUCGGCGGCAGCCGGCGGCGGGGAGGUGGCGGCGGAGGAGAGGAGGACGGAGGAGAGCGCCAGGGCCGCCGAGAAGGUCUUGAUGGAGGCGGAGAGGGAGGGGGUGGUGUUGUCGCCGCUGGACGCGGAGCAGGAGACGGA
rnacentral:lncRNA from 1 species